AGUGAACGCUGGCGGCGUGCCUAAUACAUGCAAGUCGAACGGAGUGGCGCACGGGUGAGUAAUAUAUAGCUCAUCUGCCCCUUGCUGGAGGACCACAGUUAGAAAUGACUGCUAAUACUCCAUAGCAAGGGAUGAGACUAUAUCGUAUCAGCUAGUCGGUGGGGUAACGGCCUACCGAGGCUAUGACGCGUAACUUGUCUGAGAGGAUGAUCAGUCACAUGGGAACUGAGACACGGUGCAAACUCCUACGGGAGGGAGCAGUAGGGAAUAUUGCUAAAGGGGGGAAACCAUGACGGAGCAACGGCGCGUGGAGGAUGAAACUUUUCGGAGCGUAAACUCCUUUUGUGAGGGAAGCGGUACCUAACGAAUAAGCACCGGCUAACUCCGUGCCAGCCGCCGCGGUAAUUC
rnacentral:rRNA from 1 species